CCCAGGACCCUGAGAUCAUGACCUGAGCAGAAAGCAGACACUUAACCAACUGAACCAUGCCGGCGCCCCUGAAUUGUGAGUUUUAAUUGACUUCUUUCCCUACUUUCUGAUUGCUUUCUCUCUUAUUCUUGUUGGUGGAUGGAAAAUAAUGGGCCUUAUUCACUGUUAUUUGCGUAUCUUAUUGAUUCUGUUGAUUGGAUUUUUUCUUCUCCUUCUCCUCUCUCUUGGAGAGUGUCCCCUUGGAGUGGUCUGGUUUCACAUUCUAACAUGGACUGAUUGAUGUUUUUUUUCAGAAUAGCUCCUCAAGGGUCACCUUGAAGUGUGCUUUCAUUAAAUGCCUGGUUAGUGGCAUGGUUUCUUAGAUCUUCAUCAUCCUCUGUCUUGGUGUUCAGCUUCAGAUGGAGAAAUUGAGGCUCAGUCCAGAAAACCUUCUCUCUACCUAAGACUGAAUGUUCCAAGGGAGCAGGUUUAAUUAACCCACAAGUCUUUUGCGGUGGAAAGUAAAUUGUGCCGAAGUUAUUUAUUCAAAUAGUCAUCUAUUACUUUGAGUUGAAAUGCCAACUUGGUUAUGCCUCAAGCUACUACCUGUCUUUGGAUUUGUUCCUGUUUUCUCUAUUUUAUUUCAUUGAUCUAGUAAUAUAUGCUGUGAUAUAGCUUGGUAGUGUUCUCUACUGGAAUAAGUAAAUUAAAAUAAUUAUGUUGUCUUGUUUACUAGGAGCCAAGUGUUCUUCAUUUCUUUCAGUAUUGCCCCAUAGACAUUAAAACAUAAAAUGUUUUAGGCUAAUGGACAGGAUGUCAUUUUAUCAGAGUAGUUUUGUAAUAAAUUUUGAUGUUUAGCAAAGCAAGAUGAUACCCAUGCUCUGCAUGUUCGCCUGUGCACUGGCCCAUGCAUGCGUACACACGUCUUCCUUUAACACCAUUGGCUAUUCUCAGAUACUUAGCCUUCCAUAUACAUGUUAUGUUCAUUUUGCCUGGU